AGUCGAGGGGCAGCAUUUUAGUUUGCUUGCAAACUAAAGAUGGCGACCGGCGCACGGGUGAGUAACACGCUAUCCAACCUGCCGAUAACUCGGGGAUAGCCUUUCGAAAGAAAGAUUAAUAUCCGAUAGUAUAUUAAAACCGCAUGGUUUUACUAUUAAAGAAUUUCGGUUAUCGAUGGGGAUGCGUUCCAUUAGUUUGUUGGCGGGGUAACGGCCCACCAAGACUACGAUGGAUAGGGGUUCUGAGAGGAAGGUCCCCCACAUUGGAACUGAGACACGGUCCAAACUCNUACGGGAGGCAGCAGUGAGAAAUAUUGGUCAAUGGACGAGAGUCUUGAACCAGCCAAGUAGCGUGAAGAAUGACUCCCCUAUGGGUUGUAAACUUCUUUUAUAUGGGAAUAAAGUAUUCCACGUGUGGGGAUUUUGUAUGUACCAUAUGAAUAAGGAUCGGCUAACUCCGUGCCAGCAGCCGCGGUAAUACGGAGGAUCCGAGCGUUAUCCGGAUUUAUUGGGUUUAAAGGGAGCGUAGGUGGAUUGUUAAGUCAGUUGUGAAAGUUUGCGGCUCAAACCGUAAAAUUGCAGUUGAAACUGGCAGUCUUGAGUACAGUAGAGGUGGGCGGAAUUCGUGGUGUAGCGGUGAAAUGCUUAGAUAUCACGAAGAACUCCGAUUGCGAAGGCAGCUCACUAGACUGCAACUGACACUGAUGCUCGAAAGUGUGGGUAUCAAACAGGAUUAGAUACCCUGGUAGUCCACACAGUAAACGAUGAAUACUCGCUGUUUGCGAUAUACAGUAAGCGGCCAAGCGAAAGCAUUAAGUAUUCCACCUGGGGAGUACGCCGGCAACGGUGAAACUCAAAGGAAUUGACGGGGGCCCGCACAAGCGGAGGAACAUGUGGUUUAAUUCGANUGAUACGCGAGGAACCUUACCCGGGCUUAAAUUGCAUUUGAAUAAUCUGGAAACAGGUUAGCCGCAAGGCAAAUGUGAAAGGUGCUGCAUGGUUGUCGUCAGCUCGUGCCGUGAGGUGUCGGCUUAAGUGCCAUAACGAGCGCAACCCUUAUCUUUAGUUACUAACAGGUCAUGCUGAGGACUCUAGAGAGACUGCCGUCGUAAGAUGUGAGGAAGGUGGGGAUGACGUCAAAUCAGCACGGCCCUUACGUCCGGGGCUACACACGUGUUACAAUGGGGGGUACAGAAGGCAGCUACCUGGCGACAGGAUGCUAAUCCCAAAAACCUCUCUCAGUUCGGAUCGAAGUCUGCAACCCGACUUCGUGAAGCUGGAUUCGCUAGUAAUCGCGCAUCAGCCAUGGCGCGGUGAAUACGUUCCCGGGCCUUGUACACACCGCCCGUCAAGCCAUGAAAGCCGGGGGUACCUGAAGUACGUACCGCAAGGAG
rnacentral:rRNA from 1 species